rnacentral:rRNA from 1 species
CCUUGUCCUUGUGUGGCCAGCAUGCCCUNCGGGGUGAUGGGGACUCACAGGAGACCGCCGGGGUCAACUCGGAGGAAGGUGGGGACGACGUCAUACUCAUCAUGCCCCUUAUNUCUUGGGCUGCGGACGUGCUACAAUGGCCGGUACAAUGAGCUGCGAUACCGUGAGGUGGAUCGAAUCUCAAAAAGCCGGUCUCAGUUCGGAUUGGGGUCUGCAACUCGACCCCAUGAAGUCGGAGUUGCUAGUAAUCGCAGAUCACCAUUGCUGCGGUGAAUACGUUCCCGGGCCUUGUACACACCGCCCGUCACGUCACGAAAGUUGGUAACACCCGAAGCCGGUGGCCCAACCCCUUGUGGGAUGGACCGUCGAANGUGGGACUANCGAUUGGGACGAAUCGUAACAAGGUAGCCGUAC